AUGAGUCGACCUGAUGGGAUCAACAUCCCCGACGACAAGUUCUACCUUGGAGAUGUUGGCUAUGCAUGUCGGUUGGGUAUUCUUCCACCCUUCAGGAAAACCAGGUACCAUCUCAACGAGUUCUCUGGUAGGAACUAUCCUAGGACUGCACAACAGCUGUUUACUCUCAGACACUCCAGCCUUAGAGUAACUAUUGAGAGGGCAUUCGGAGCUCUGAAGAAUAGGUUUAAGAUCCUGGAUUAG
rnacentral:rRNA from 1 species